AUCUUUUUGUAGUUCAGAAGCAUGAUGCCUGGGUUUUCACACCCCUGUGUGAGAUGUGCCUCCCUCAAACUUUGGUAAGACGUCAGCACAUUACUCAUCUGACG